rnacentral:rRNA from 1 species
AUUGAACGCUGGCGGCAGGCCUAACACAUGCAAGUCGAGCGAGCGGCGGGCGGGUGAGGAAUAUCUGGGAAACUGCCUGAUGGAGGGGGAUAACUACUGGAAACGGUAGCUCAUACCGCAUACCAUCAGAUGUGCCCAGGUGGGAUUAGCUAGUAGGUGGGGUAACGGCCCAUCUAGGCGACGAUCCCUAGCUGGUCUGAGAGGAUGACCAGCCACACUGGAACUGAGACACGGUCCAGACUCCUACGGGAGGCAGCAGUGGGGAAUAUUGCACAAUGGGCGAAAGCCUGAUGCAGCCAUGCCGCGUGUAUGAAGAAGGCCUUCGGGUUGUAAAGUACUUUAAGUGGGGAGGCGUUACCCGCAGAAGAAGCACCGGCUAACUCCGUGCCAGCAGCCGCGGUAAUAC